ACACAUAGAGUGUGCGUGUGUAUAUACGAUCGAUCAGGGGCAGAGGGUGAGGUGAAACCCUAGUUUCACCAAAAUCCAUCAAAUUGAAGGGGGAUUGAAGGGCUAAACUAAUGCAUGAACCAAGAUUGUCGAUCACUUUAGUGUUUCUACCAUCAUGAUCAUGUUUAAAGGGGAAAGCAUGGAAGGCAAACGGAAUAGGGAUGAGGAAGCAUGUACGAAACGGACACUCGAGAUAUGUAGGUGCGUAUGAUCAGACGUAUGAAUAUAUGAAUGCACGAAGUAGGAUUUAUCGUCUAUGAAAAGAAUGGGACAGGUAUGCAUGUAUACAUGGUUUCAAUACGUUUGAGUAUGGACGUUACUAAUGAUGUGCUUGAGAUUGAAAUGUAAUGCAGGAAUGAGAACGUCAGACUCUUGUAGAAUUGAAGCCGAACCUUGAAGCCAAACUCGGAACAAAGGAAUCCGAGAGGAUAGUCGAAUGAAUCAAAGUUUAUGUUGUCGAAUGUUAUAUGAUUUUUAAUUUGUAUCAGAUUAUUGUUGUAUGACGUUGUCAAUGACUAAUGGUUAAGUUGUAUGUGGUGUCCACAGGUACUACACGGAUUUCUUCUACCACUAUCGAAGAUAAGCGGGCAUAGACCGAGUCGAAUAACAAGGGUUGUACGGAAAGAACGGUUACGUGGUCUUAAUUUUGUAACGCAUUAAUUUUAAAAUUAAAAAGGGAAGUGAAUUUUGUAAGCUUCUUCUUGAAUAUGUGUAUUCUUAUAAGACCGUAAAGAAAUUUUUAAAGCUAUUUUUCC